AAGAUUGCUAACAAAAUGGCUACAUGGACUGAGUUGACCUUUUUGUAUUUUAUUCUUCGCACUCUCUCUAUGCACAUUACUGCACACAAGCACUCACUCCAUCAUUUGCUCACAAACACACAUGCACAUACAUUUAUACUGACUCACACCCCCACUCACAUCAUCAUAUACCCUGCUGCUACUCUGUUUAUCAUAUAUCCUGACGCCUAGUAGCUCUAUAGGGCCAAUAUCCCUACACAUUAGUAAAUAUGGUACUGGAACUGAACCUGCAUAUAUUGUAGUAUGCUUGUUUUAUCGUGUUCUUUUAAUAUCUCGUGUUUUGAUUCUACCUUAUUUUUAGUAUUACAUAGUUCUUGAUAACUGCAUUGUUGUCGUUAGAGCUUGCAAUAAAGGCAUUUCACUAUGUUUGUGCAUGUGAUGUUGAAAUGUGAAAUUUAUGGGCGAGUCCUAAUAUGCCACAGGGCAAACUGUACUAAAAAGCCACAGGUGGCAGAUUGCGCCUUUACGCGCUCCACUCAACAUGUGUAGCCUUUCUGCGGUGACCAGGACGCUCCAACUCACAGUUCACCACCGCCAGACACUGUCAGUGGCGCUGGACGGCUUUGUGUCUGGUGGUCGGAGGUUCAAAUCCGGAGCCAGCAGACAUGUAGGACAAAAUUGGCUGACAACGAUAGAAACAACUCCGGGGAAGUACAAAACAAUAGACGAUCUACGUGGACCUAGUUUGGCCACGACGGUGUAUUGGCUGUUCGUGAAGGGAUAUGCAGAUAAGAGCCAUGCGAUGCAGGUUGAACACAAGAAACUGUACGGGCCCAUCUGGCGCUCGCGGUUCGGCCCGUUUGAUGUGGUGAACGUGGCGUCUCCAGAGCUUAUAUCCCAGGUGAUCCGUCAGGAGGGCCGCUACCCAGUCCGGACAGAGCUGCCACACUGGAAGGAGUACCGCGAUAUGAGGGGACAGGCCUAUGGACUCCAUGUGGAUAAAGGCCUACAGUGGUACCGUAUCCGUAGUGUCCUGAAUCCAAAGAUGCUGAAGCUAGCGGAGGUGUCUGCGUACGCGCCUGUCAUCCACCAGGUGGUAGGAGACCUGCUACAGCGUAUUGAGAGGCUCCGCCUCCGCAGUCAGGACCACACCACCGUACCAGACCUCACCGCAGAGCUCUACAAGUUUGGCUUUGAAGGGAUCUCUUCCAUCCUGUUUGAGACGCGGCUGGGUUGUCUGCAAGAGGAGAUCCCUAAGGACACGCUGAAGUUCAUCGCUGCAGCCAACGACAUGCUAACCCUGUCUGAGACCGUCCUCUUCCUCCCGCUCUGGACACGCAACGUCCUGCCCUUCUGGAAGCGAUUUGUACAAGCCUGGGACGACAUGGUGAAUGUAGCUCAGGGUCUGAUUGACCAUAAGUUGGCGCAGAUGGAUGCUCAGGUGCUUGCUGGGAAGAAGUUGGACGGGAUGUACCUCACCUACCUGCUGUCCUGUGAUAAACUGACCCUGGGAGAGGUGUACAUCAGCAUCACAGAGCUGUUGCUGGGCGGAGUGGACACGACGUCCAACACCUUGUCGUGGGCAUUGUACCAGUUGGCUCGCGACGCCGCGUCUCAGGACAGGCUGUACCUUGAGAUCAUGUCUGUGUGUCCGGGAAGACAGCAGCCCAGAUCAGAGGACCUGAGCAGGAUGCCCUACCUGAAGGCUGUCAUCAAGGAGACUCUGAGACCCAGUUCCAUCUGUGUCACUAUGCUGCCAGUCAUGACGAGCGGGAGUUUGUGGAUGCAGAGUGUUUCAGGCCUGAGCGUUGGCUGCGAGGGGACCCAGAGUCGUACCAACACCACCCCUACAGCUCUAUACCCUUCGGGGUGGGCGUGAGAGCCUGUGUGGGCAAGAGAGUGGCAGAGCUAGAGAUGUACUUUGCCCUCUCCAGGCUGAUGCAGCAUUAUGAGAUCCAGCCAGAGGACGGGGCCCCGACCACAGAGCCCAAGACUAGAACACUGCUCAUCCCGUCCAAACCCAUCAACCUGCGCUUCCUACCCCGAGCCUGAGGAGGGUGCCAGGGAGUUAUAGAAAGGGAUUGACAGGAGGGCCUGGUGUUGUGCUGUGAUGUGGUAACCUCCAGUCCCCUAGAUCCCCUUAAACAUAGCCGCAGGAAGUAGUUUGGGUGGGGGGCGAUGCUGAAAAAUAAAGUUUGCUCGUGAUGGCUAUAUCGGAUACAAUACAAUACUUUAAUAAAUGCACAUUGGUGUUGAGGAGAAAUUUAUCACUGUGUGUGUGUGUGAAGGGCAUUAUAAUUAGAUGCUAACACACUUUGAAUAUUUGUCUAGGGUAUUGGCCAUCAACCUUUUACUGCAUUAAAAGUCUCUAUGAAAUGU